AGCUCCAAUAGCGUAUAUUAAAGUUGUUGCAGUUAAAAAGCUCGUAGUUGGAUUUGUGGCGUACGGUGUGUUCCGGGCACUUGUUGUCUGAGUAACCUGCUGUUGCCAUCCUUGGGUGGAACCUGUGUGGCAUUAGGUUGUCGUGCAGGGGAUGCCCAUCAUUUACUGUGAAAAAAUUAGAGUGUUCAAAGCAGGCUUAUGCCGUUGAAUAUAUUAGCAUGGAAUAAUGAGAUAGGACUUUUUUGCUAUUUUGUUGGUUUGCGCAAAGAGGUAAUGAUUAAUAGGGACAGUUGGGGGUAUUCGUAUUCCAUUGUCAGAGGUGAAAUUCUUGGAUUUUUGGAAGACGAACUACUGCGAAAGCAUUUACCAAGGAUGUUUUCA
rnacentral:rRNA from 1 species